rnacentral:rRNA from 1 species
GGUAGUCCACGCCGUAAACGAUGUCGACUUGGAGGUUGUGGCUUCCGGAGCUAACGCGUUAAGUCGACCGCUGGGGAGUACGGCCGCAAGGUUAAAACUCAAAUGAAUUGACGGGGGCCCGCACAAGCGGUGGAGCAUGUGGUUUAAUUCGAUGCAACGCGAAGAACCUUACCUGGUCUUGACAUCCAGGUGCUGCAUGGCUGUCGUCAGCUCGUGUUGUGAAAUGUUGGGUUAAGUCCCGCAACGAGCGCAACCCUUAUCCUUUGUUGCAACUCAAAGGAGACUGCCAGUGAUAAACUGGAGGAAGGUGGGGAUGACGUCAAGUCAUCAUGGCCCUUACGACCAGGGCUACACACGUGCUACAAUGGCGCAUACAAAGAGAAGCGACCUCGCGAGAGCAAGCGGACCUCAUAAAGUGCGUCGUAGUCCGGAUUGGAGUCUGCAACUCGACUCCAUGAAGUCGGAAUCGCUAGUAAUCGUGGAUCAGAUGCCACGGUGAAUACGUUCCCGGGCCUUGUACACACCGCCCGUCACACCAUGGGAGUGGGUUGCAAAAGAAGUAGGUUACCACUUUGUGAUUCAUGACUGGGGUGAAGUCGUAACAAGGUAACCGA